rnacentral:rRNA from 1 species
GCUCAGUAACACGUGGAUAACCUGCCCUUGGGUCUGGGAUAACCCCGGGAAACUGGGGAUAAUACCGGAUAACGCAUAUAUGCUGGAAUGCUUUAUGCGUAAAAUGGAUUCGUCUGCCCAAGGAUGGGUCUGCGGCCUAUCAGGUAGUAGUGGGUGUAAUGUACCUACUAGCCUACAACGGGUACGGGUUGUGAGAGCAAGAGCCCGGAGAUGGUAUUCUGAGACAUGAAUCCAGGCCCUACGGG